GUUAGGAAUAUUGGACAAUGGGCGCAAGCCUGAUCCAGCCAUGCCGCGUGAGUGAUGAAGGCCUUCGGGUUGUAAAGCUCUUUAGUCCACGAAUAUAAUGACUGUAGUGGAAGAAUAAGCCCCGGCUAACUUCGUGCCAGCAGCCGCGGUAAUACGAAGGGGGCGAGCGUUAUUCGGAAUCACUGGGCGUAAAGCGUGGGUAGGCUGUUUUGUAAGUCAGAAGUGAAAGCCCAGGGCUUAACCCUGGAAUUGCUUUUGAAACUACAAGACUCGAAUUCGGGAGAGGAUAGCGGAAUUGUCAGUGUAGCAGUGAAAUGCGUAGAUAUUGACAGGAACACCAGUGGCGCAAGCGGCUAUCUGGACCGAUAUUGACGCUGAGGCACGAAAGCGUGGGGAGCAAACAGGAUUAGAAACCCGUGUAGUCC
rnacentral:rRNA from 1 species